UGUCGUCAACCACAUACACAACUGAAUGUGAAGACAAUUAUCAAGGACACUUAUGUUUGCUCAAAGCACUUCAGAGAUGGGAAGCCAACUCUGGAAUAUCAGAUCCCAUCCGGGCUCUCGUGUGUGCUGCUCCGAAAAGACACAGACCCUCGCCCAAAAAAAGCAAUGGCGGAUCGUGGAGCCUCUCAUUCGUUCCCCGGAAG